GACGUAGGAGGCGAGCGUUGUCCGGAUUCAUUGGGCGUAAAGAGCGCGCAGGCGGCUUGGUAAGUCGGAUGUGAAAUCCCGAGGCUCAACCUCGGGUCUGCAUCCGAUACUGCCCGGCUAGAGGUAGGUAGGGGAGAUCGGAAUUCCUGGUGUAGCGGUGAAAUGCGCAGAUAUCUGGAGGAACACCGGUGGCGAAGGCGGCAUCCUGGUCCGGCAUUGACGCUGAGGCGCGAAAGCUAGGGGAGCAAACGGG
rnacentral:rRNA from 1 species